rnacentral:RNase_P_RNA from 1 species
UGGGACGGUCGGGGGGCCGCCUCCGGGCCCGUACGGGCCCGGGGGAGGAACUUCCGGACUCCAUAGGACGCGGUGCCCGUCGAAAGCCGGGACGCGCCGGGCGCAAGCCCGGCGUGAUGGAAAGUGCCACAGAGAACAUACCGCCCCGGCCGCGGCUUGCCGCUUCCGGGGUAAGGGUGAAAAGGCGAGGUAAGAGCUCACCGCUCCGGGGGCGACCCCGGGGGCUAGGCAAACCCCACCGGGAGCAAGGCAUAGGGCGGCAUGCGCGGUCCGCGCCCCGGCGUAGGCCGGGAACCGUCCGGUAGCUGCAUCAGAGAAAUGGUCCUCCAGCGGCCUUCGGGCCGUGGACAGAAUCCGGGGUACAGGCCGUCCCAAACA